rnacentral:rRNA from 1 species
GCAAGUCGAACGAGAAAACUCUUCGGAGUGAGUAUAGUGGCGCACGGGUGAGUAACACGUAGGUGAUCUACCUAUUGGUGGGGAACAACAGGGAGAAAUUCCUGCUAAUACCGCAUAAUCUCUUCUAUUUUGGAUAUUGAAGAGGAAAGGGGGCUUCGGCUCUCGCCGAUAGACGAGCCUGCGGGACAUUAGCUUGAUGGUGGGGUAACAGCCUACCAUGGCGACGAUGUCUAGCUGGUCUGAGAGGAUGAUC